rnacentral:rRNA from 1 species
CGGUGUUUAACUGGCGUGAUGUGGGACGUCCUACCGGUGGGCUUAGCCUCGCGAGGGGCGGCCCAACUAAUAUCCCGUCGCGGUGCUCUUUACUGAGUGUCGAGUCGGGCCGGUACGUUUACUUUGAACAAAUUAGAGUGCUUAAAGCAGGCUAUCCUCGCCUGAAUACUGCGUGCAUGGAAUAAUGGAAUAGGACCUCGGUUCUAUUUUGUUGGUUUUCGGAACCCCGAGGUAAUGAUUAAUAGGGACAGAUGGGGGCAUUCGUAUUGCGACGUUAGAGCUGAAAUUCUUGGAUCGUCGCAAGACGGACAGAAGCGAAAGCAUUUGCCAAAAAUGUUUUCAUUAAUCAAGAACGAAAGUUAGAGGUUCGAAGGCGAUCAGAUACCGCCCUAGUUCUAACCAUAAACGAUGCCAGCUAGCGAUCCGCCGAAGUUCCUCCGAUGACUCGGCGGGCAGCUUCCGGGAAACCAAAGCUUUUGGGUUCCGGGGGAAGUAUGGUUGCAAAGCUGAAACUUAAAGGAAUUGACGGAAGGGCACCACCAGGAGUGGAGCCUGCGGCUUAAUUUGACUCAACACGGGAAACCUCACCAGGCCCAGACACCGGAAGGAUUGACAGAUUGAUAGCUCUUUCUUGAUUCGGUGGGUGGUGGUGCAUGGCCGUUCUUAGUUGGUGGAGCGAUUUGUCUGGUUAAUUCCGAUAACGAACGAGACUCUAGCCUGCUAAAUAGGCGUACCUUAUGGUAUCGCGAAGGCCCCCGGCUUCGGCCGGUGGGUUUUUACUACCAACGUACAAACAAAUCUUCUUAGAGGGACAGGCGG